rnacentral:piRNA from 1 species
UAAACCUAGUUUAGAAGAUGCACUUAGAC